GGCCAUUUGAAAGUGUGUAGCACCCCCGACACAUACCUUUCUCUCUUUCUCCUGCUUUAGCUAUGUGAUGUGCCUACUCCCCCUUUUCCUUCUGCCAUGAUUGGAAGCUUCCUGAGGCCUCCCAAGUAGCAGACGCCACUAUGCCUGCAGAACUGAGACUUGAAGGACAUUCUGCUAAAAUUCUAGAGACCAGAGCCCGGGCAACUCCUCUCUGGAGCACCAGCACCACUUCGGCACCGUCACUAUGGCUGUUGACCACCACUACUAUGGCAGUCUGCCACCACCAAGAUCACUGAGUAAUCUUCUUCUACUCUCUUAGCCACCCAUUAGUUGAUUAAACUGGACCAAGGAUUAAAAGCUUUAUGGAGCAGG